AACGAACGCUGGCGGCAGGCUUAACACAUGCAAGUUGAACGGGAACAUACGAUAGCUUGCUAUAGUAUGUGAGAGUGGCGCACGGGUGAGUAAUACAUGGGAACAUACCUUAAAGUGGGGGAUAACUUCUGGAAACGGAUGCUAAUACCGCAUAUACCCUGAGGGGGAAAGAUUUAUCGCUUUAAGAUUGGCCCAUGGCAGAUUAGGUAGUUGGUGGGGUAAAGGCCUACCAAGCCGACGAUCUGUAGCUGGUCUGAGAGGACGAUCAGCCACAUUGGGACUGAGACACGGCCCAGACUCCUACGGGAGGCAGCAGUGAGGAAUAUUGGGCAAUGGGGGCAACCCUGACCCAGCCAUGCCGCGUGAGUGAAGAAGGUUUUCGAAUUGUAAAGCUCUUUCGGAUGUGACGAUGAUGACGGUAGCAUCUAAAGAAGCCCCGGCAAACUUCGUGCCAGCAGCCGCGGUAAUACGAAGGGGGCGAGCGUUGUUCGGAAUUACUGGGCGUAAAGGGUGUGUAGGUGGACGUGUAAGAUAGCGGUGAAAUGCCGGAGCUCAACUUCGGAAUUGCCAUUAUAACUAUGCGUCUAGAAUUAUAGAGAGGAUAGCGGAAUACCCAGUGUAGAGGUGAAAUUCGUAGAUAUUGGGUAGAACACCAGUGGCGAAGGCGGCUAUCUGGCUAUAUAUUGACACUGAGGCACGAAAGCAUGGGGAUCAAACAGG
rnacentral:rRNA from 1 species